rnacentral:rRNA from 1 species
GACGAACGCUGGCGGCGUGCUUAACACAUGCAAGUCGAGCGGAAAGGCCCUUCGGGGUACUCGAUCGGCGAACGGGUUAGUAACACGUGAGUAACCUGCCCUAAACUUUGUGUUACCCCUCGGAAACGGGGGCUAAUAUCGGAUACUCCUCCCAAAUCGCCUGCUUUUGUUGGCAGAGGUUUUUGGGCUGUGAUGGACUCGCGGCCUAUCAUCUUGUUGGUGGGGUAAUGGCGUACCAAGGCCAGGACGGGUAGCCGGCCUGAGAAGGGGAACGGGCACCAUGCGACUAAGACACGGACCAGACGGCUACGGGGGGCAGCAGGGGGGAAUAUGACACAGUGAGCGGGAGCCGGAUGAAGCGACGCUGCGUUUGUGAUGCCCGUUUGCUGGGUGUAAAACGCAGUCGGCAGAGACGAAGCGUAAGUGACGGUACCUACAGAAGAAGCGCCGGCUAACUUCGUG